rnacentral:tRNA from 1 species
GCCAUAGCUCAGUUGGGAGAGCGCUUGAAUGGCAUUCAAGAGGUCGUCGGUUCGAUUCCGAUUGGC